CAUUCGCGGCGCUGGCGUGCGGGAGGCGAGCUUUUCACUGGGCACGUGGUAAAGGUAAACAACAGGCGCGCCGCCGCAGUCCUAGGCAUGACGUCAUGUAGCAAGGCUGUUUGGACGGUGCGACUCAAAUGAAAAUGAACGGAUCUGUAAGGAAGAACAAGGAAGCUUAAUUUCAGUCAGUCAAUACAGCACAUUGAGCAACUGGUGAGACUAACAGACACGAAUGGAUGCUAAACCAGAAAGAAGGAAAAGGCCAGCGACACUUGAGUCUCUGGGGGCCAAUCCAUAGGUGUGGGCUGAGACAUGGCUCCUGAGGCAACAUAGAGCAUUUUUCACCAAAGUAUACCAUUCCAAGUUUUUUUUAUGGUGACUGGACAUUUGCCAACUCUGCCCAUUGUUUCAGUAUUUUCAGAUCAUCUGUGAAAAAUCUGAACAUCACAUUUCUGAAGUAACAGAAGCAGGAAAGGACUGAAGAUUUUAGAUCUGUUUAGACAGAAGCCUAACAAAAUCCCUGUAAAUGGAAUGAUUUGUUCUUGCUGACAUUUCUGAACCAUCAAUAAAGGAGUUCCCCCAGUGGUGUUUUGCGGCAGUACCACUGGCCUAAAUAUGCUGCAGCCACCAAAGAUGCUGGAAAGAUGAAGAGAGCAACACAACAUGAUCCUGUUAAUGGCGAUGCAUUGAUGGACUGUAUAAUGGCUAAGGGUCUUCUGGCCUUGGAACCUCAUAGGCUUAUUUUCUCCAACAUUCCACCACCUGGCAUUUUUAUUUUCUAGCCCUCUCCAGCUAUCUGGCCAGAGUUAAGCUGGACAUUAUGAUUCUUUAGUUUUUACUUUCUUUUGUAACUGUUUAGCUAUAAUUAUAAUAAGCCACUCUGAGUCAUUCUCAUGUAUAAAAAUGUGCUAUUGAAAUAAAAAAGAUGAAUAGAUUGGAAAGCAGAGUGCAUCAAUUCAGACAAAACACUCCCAGUAUAUUUGUAACUAUACCUCUAACUCUGAUGUAAGCAAAACAUGUUGUAUAUAUCCAGGUAAAGUAGUAAUACUCACGGAUCUUGGCACCUGAGAAUGUUAACAUGUUGCACGUUUUUUAGCACACUCAAGAAUUUCACUGUGUUCUGUGGAUGUGACAAUAAUAUAAAUCUACAACUUGUGUACCUUAUACUGUAGGUUCCAUUACUGGUAAUCAUUUGUAGGUUCUACAUGCUUGUUUUUGCCUACUUAAGUGUAUCAGUCCUUUAUGUUUAAUUUUUCUUUGAUAUAUAAUCAAAAUAUAUAUUUUACAAGAAAAUCCACAAGAUAAUCCAAUCAUUUUUUUGUUUUUAGAAAACUUCAUAUUUUUCCAGUUACCCUUCUAUUACUGCUAAUUACUGCUCAACUUGCAUCACAUUCUUCAGUUGCAAUCUGGGAUCUCAGCUGCAGCAAGGUCUGAAGAACUGGAGUUGUACUCCUGUGCUUCUUUUGGACACCCUACCCAAGUUUUCUUGUUUCUCUGUGAAGUGAAUCUGAAGAAAGUCCAUAUCUAGCUGAAGUACCCAUGGUCUCUUGUUUCCAUUUGCAGCAUAUUUUUCUGACAGUAUAGUGAUGAAUUCCAAAAUGUUCUGUUCUGCCUUUAGAACUCUCUACAGAUGUGUUGGCAAUUAUGGCACUGUUCAAAGUGCUUUAUACUCACCUACUCGGGUCCAACCAAACAAGGUGACUUACCUUCAUGAAACAGAGGGCCUCACAAGCUUUGUCAAGAUUGUGGCCUCUCUGACUAGUUUGACUUUGACCUGGUGUUCAGUCAUUUUGCAGACAGGCUAUUUUGUGUUUAUUUAUCUAUUUCUCUGUACAACUUAAGAAUAUGUGGAUAUAAUCUUCACACUAUUUCUCAUUUAUGUGUGCAUACACACACACACACACACAAAAUAGUUGCUUCCAUAAACACCCAUCCAGUUGACAUGAAGAUCAACAUGCAAAAUAGGUAAUAAGUGUGUAAGAAAUGAUUGCAGAACCAACGACAAAAUAUGAUUUGUCUACAAUGUCUAUAAAUACAAGUGUCUGUACAUUAAGAAAGAGUUAUAGAAUGAUGCACCAAAGCCACAUCUAACCUAACACUAGGUAAGUGCUUCACUGGCAAGGGUAUGGAAUAACUGUUGCUGGCAACUUGGAAUGUCCAUCGCAAGUGACUACGAAAGGAGUGGUCCCAUAGGUUUUCCUGAGAUGCUGGCUGACAUCAGCACUGUCUUAAUGUAAGAUGGAUUCAGAGAGGCCUGCCAUGAAUAGUCCUAAAAUAUGUGACAGAAUUUCUUCUUUUUAUUGUCAUUUAUCAAACUAUCCUUAAAAGGGAGAAGAGGCAACAAACUACCAAAUGUGAAAACAACUGCACACACACCACACCUUGGUUGGGUGAUAUAACAUGAUAUUACAUUACAUUAUUACACCUAUUAAUUUGAAUUUUGGGUAAGAACUGGAAUCUAUUUCAGCAUAACUGAUUACAAGGCAGAAACCAACAGUGGUGUAUCUGCUAGUCCAUGGCAGGACCCAUUCACUUGCACACCCAAACUUACUGGACACACCUUUAGAAUCACCGCUUAAUUUAACUUGUGUGUUUUGAGAAAAAGAGAGAAAGAGAGGGAGGUUAGGAGCACACCCUGAUACAGCACAUUGCCGCACUCACCACACGACAAACCAACUCAGGAUCCCAGAUUAGGGGGUGUUUUGAGAACACGGGAUAAAAAUUCCACACAGACAGAAGAAGAAUGAGCAAACUCUAUUGAUAUGCACACAUGGGAUUUGAUUUCAGCAGACUGGAUCUAUGAGGUAGCAGCUCUAAUAAUUGAUGUCAAAUUCAGGAAUUUUGUCUGUAUUACAUCAAUGUCUUCACUAUCACCAUUUGCUAAUUUGCUGGUCAUUAGCUUCAAAGGAGUAGAAUUUAUAACUGAGAACGGCUAACUGUAAUCCAGGGGUCCUUUAGAACAGUCUGUGACAGAUGUCAUCAUUAACAUUUAGUCAUUAGCUCAUGAUCUGAGACAUUACCCAACAAACUAAGACAGGUACCACAUCUCUUUUUAUACUAUAAAAUAGUGAGAAGUCAAACAA